AUUGAACGCUGGCGGCAUGCCUUACGCAUGCAAGUCGAACGGCAGCGGGGACUCCGGUCCGCCGGCGAGUGGCGAACGGGUGAGUAAUGUAUCGGAACGUACCAUUGAGUGGGGGAUAACGUAGCGAAAGUUACGCUAAUACCGCAUAUUCUCCCCGGAGGAAAGCAGGGGACCGCAAGGCCUUGCGCUCUUUCAGCGGCCGAUAUCAGAUUAGCUAGGUGGUGAGGUAAAGGCUCACCAAGGCGACGAUCUGUAGCGGGUCUGAGAGGAUGAUCCGCCACACUGGAACUGAGACACGGUCCAGACUCCUACGGGAGGCAGCAGUGGGGAAUUUUGGACAAUGGGGGCAACCCUGAUCCAGCCAUGCCGCGUGAGUGAAGAAGGCCUUCGGGUUGUAAAGCUCUUUCGGUCGGGAAAAAAUCGCAUGGGCUAAUGCCCUGUGUGGAUGAUGGUACCGGAAUAAGAAGCACCGGCUAACUACGUGCCAGCAGCCGCCGUAAGAC
rnacentral:rRNA from 1 species